AAAGCUCCGAGAUCGAAAGCUCGGCGCCAGAGGAUGGGUCUGCGGCUAUCAGGUAGUAGUGGGUGUAGCGUACUUACUAGCUUACGACGGGUACGGGUUGUGAGAGCAAGAGCCCGGAGAUGGAUUCUGAGACACGAAUCCAGGCCCUACGGGGUGCAGCAGGCGCGAAAACUUUACAAUGCCGGCAACGGCGAUAAAGGGACCUCGAGUGCCAGGUUACAAAUCUGGCUGUCGUGAUGCCUAAAAAGCAUUGCAUAGCAAGGGCCGGGCAAGACCGGUGCCAGCCGCCGCGGUAACACCGGCGGCUCGAGUGGUAACCGUUAUUAUUGGGUCUAAAGGGUCUGUAGCCGGCCGGAUAAGUCUCUUGAGAAAUCCAGCAGCUCAACUGUCAGGCUUUCAGGAGAUACUGUCUGGCUCGAGGCCGGGAGAGGUGAGAGGUACUUCAGGGGUAGGGGUGAAAUCUUGUAAUCCUUGAAGGACCACCAGUGGCGAAGGCGUCUCACCAGAACGGACCUGACGGCAAGGGACGAAAGCUAGGGGCACGAACCGGAUUAGAUACCCGGGUAGUCCUAGCCGUAAACGAUACUCGCUAGGUGUCGGCCACGGUGCGACCGUUGUCGGUGCCGUAGGGAAGCCGUGAAGCGAGCCACCUGGGAAGUACGGCCGCAAGGCUGAAACUUAAAGGAAUUGGCGGGGGAGCACCACAACGGGUGGAGCUUGCGGUUUAAUUGGAUUCAACGCCGGAAAUCUUACCGGGACCGACAGCAACAUGAAGGCCAGGCUGAAGACUUUGCCGGAUUAGCUGAGAGGUGGUGCAUGGCCGUCGUCAGUUCGUACUGUGAAGCAUCCUGUUAAGUCAGGCAACGAGCGAGACCCA
rnacentral:rRNA from 1 species